rnacentral:rRNA from 1 species
AACGCGAAGAACCUUACCUGGGCUUGAACCGCUACUGACCAACGGUAGAAAUAUCGUCUUCCCGCAAGGGACAGUAGUAGAGGUGCUGCAUGGCUGUCGUCAGCUCGUGCCGUGAGGUGUUGGGUUAAGUCCCGCAACGAGCGCAACCCUUACUCAUAGUUGCUACCCGCAAGGGAGAACUCUAUGAGGACUGCUCCGGAUAACGGAGAGGAAGGUGGGGAUGAGGUCAAGUCAGCAUGGCCUUUAUGUCCAGGGCUACACACGUGUUACAAUGCGCGCCACAAAGCGUCGCGAACCCGCGAGGGGGAGCUAAUCGCAAAAAAGCGCGCUCAGUUCGGAUUGCAGUCUGCAACUCGACUGCAUGAAGCCGGAAUCGCUAGUAAUGGCGCAUCAGAACGGCGCCGUGAAUACGUUCCCGGGCCUUGUACACACCGAGUAUA